CCUACGGGAGGCAGCAGUGAGGAAUAUUGGGCAAUGGAGGAAACUCUGACCCAGCCAUGCCGCGUGAGUUAAGAAGGUUUUCGAAUUGUAAAGCUCUUUCGGCUGUUAAGAUGGUUACGUUAACCUCUAAAGACGCCCCGGCAAACUUCCUGCCAGCAUCCGCGGUAAUACGAAGGGGGCACGCGUUGUUCGGCAUUACUGGGUUUAAAGGGAGCGUAGGUGGAUUGUUAAGUCAGUUGUGAAAGUUUGCGGCUCAACCGUAAAAUUGCAGUUGAAACUGGCAGUCUUGAGUACAGUAGAGGUGGGCGGAAUUCGUGGUGUAGCGGUGAAAUGCUUAGAUAUCACGAAGAACUCCGAUUGCGAAGGCAGUUCACUGGACUGCAACUGACACUGAGGCUCGAAAGUGUGGGUAUCAAACAGGAUUAGAUACCCCAGUAGUC
rnacentral:rRNA from 1 species